rnacentral:rRNA from 1 species
UGGUGUACCAGUUGUCGUGCCAACGGCAUAGCUGGGUAGCUAUGUGUGGACGGGAUAAGUGCUGAAAGCAUCUAAGCAUGAAGCCCCCCUCAAGAUGAGAUUUCCCAACUUCGGUUAUAAGAUCCCUCAAAGAUGAUGAGGUUAAUAGGUUCGAGGUGGAAGCAUGGUGACAUGUGGAGCUGACGAAUACUAAUCGAUCGAAGACGUAA